GCGGGGUGCGACGGAGCCUUUCCGAAGCCGCGAGCAGCCGCCGGGAGCCGCUUGCGACGUGUGGCACCGCGGGGUGAUGGCAGCUUUUCAGCCGGACCGGGAGCUGCAGAAGUGGAGCCUGCUGACUUUAUAACGACAAAUUAUCCCUUCGGAAAGAGCUGCCCGCAUCACGGCGACGUGCGAACGGACACAGAGCGGCCGCACGGAUGAGUAUUAAAACCAAAUUCCUCUUAUCUACGUGAGAAAUCAGCCGGAAGAAAACGAAAAUAUACCCGACUUUAAAUUAUAUAUGUCCGCCCCGGGCACAUUCCGCGCUGCGCUCCCCGCGCUGUGACGCGCAUCGCC
ensembl:lncRNA